AAAGUCGCUCAAUGGUAGAGCGUCGGCUUCCCAAGCCGAUUCCCGCGGGUUCGAUUCCCGUCUUUC
rnacentral:tRNA from 1 species